rnacentral:rRNA from 1 species
CCUACGGGAGGCAGCAGUGGGGAAUAUUGGGCAAUGGGCGCAAGCCUGACCCAGCAACGCCGCGUGAAGGAAGAAGGCUUUCGGGUUGUAAACUUCUUUUGUCAGGGACGAAGCAAGUGACGGUACCUGACGAAUAAGCCACGGCUAACUACGUGCCAGCAGCCGCGGUAAUACGUAGGUGGCAAGCGUUAUCCGGAUUUACUGGGUGUAAAGGGCGUGUAGGCGGGACUGCAAGUCAGAUGUGAAAACCACGGGCUCAACCUGUGGCCUGCAUUUGAAACUGUAGUUCUUGAGUACUGGAGAGGCAGACGGAAUUCCUAGUGUAGCGGUGGAAUGCGUAGAUAUAUGGAAGAACACCAGUGGCGAAGGCGGCUCUCUGGUCUGCAACUGACGCUGAGGCUCGAAAGCAUGGGUAGCGAACAGGAUUAGAUACCCCAGUAGUC